rnacentral:rRNA from 1 species
GACGAACGCUGGCGGCGUGCUUAACACGUGCAAGUCGAACGGAAAGGCCCUGCUUUUGUGGGGUGCUCGAGUGGCGAACGGGUGAGUAACACGUGAGUAACCUGCCCUUGACUUUGGGAUAACUUCAGGAAACUGGGGCUAAUACCGGAUAGGAGCUCCUGCUGCAUGGUGGGGGUUGGAAAGUUUCGGCGGUUGGGGAUGGACUCGCGGCUUAUCAGCUUGUUGGUGGGGUAGUGGCUUACCAAGGCUUUGACGGGUAGCCGGCCUGAGAGGGUGACCGGCCACAUUGGGACUGCGGUACGGCCCAGACGCCUACGGGAGGCAGUAGUGGGGAAUAUUGCACAAUGGGCGGAAGCCUGAUGCAGCAACGCCGCGUGCGGGAUGACGGGCUUCGGGUUGUAAACCGAUUUCGCAUGUGACGAAGCGUGAGUGACGGUAAUGGGUAAAGAAGCCCCGGCUAACUACGUG